rnacentral:rRNA from 1 species
GAUGAACGCUGGCGGCGUGCUUAACACAUGCAAGUCGAACGAUGAAGCCCAGCUUGCUGGGUGGAGUAGUGGCGAACGGGUGAGUAACACGUGAGUAACCUGCCCUUAACUCUGGGAUAAGCCUGGUAAACUGGGUCUAAUACCGGAUAGGAGCGUCCACCGCAUGGUGGGUGUUGGAGAGAUUUAUCGGUUUUGGAUGGACUCGCGGCCUAUCAGCUUGUUGGUGAGGUAAUGGCUCACCAAGGCGACGACGGGUAGCCGGCCUGAGAGGGUGACCGGCCACACUGGGACUGAGACACGGCCCAGACUCCUACGGGAGGCAGCAGUGGGGAAUAUUGCACAAUGGGCGCAAGCCUGAUGCAGCGACGCCGCGUGAGGGAUGACGGCCUUCGGGUUGUAAACCUCUUUCAGUAGGGAAGAAGCGAAAGUGACGGUACCUGCAGAAGAAGCACCGGCUAACUACGUG